AAUGGUCACACAUUAGCAACUUUUAGAAAACGUAUAAGGGACUAAUUCUAGACACAAACCAGCUGAUACUCAUACAGAAUUAAAAAAAAAAAACAAGAGAAAAAUAGAAAUGAAUUGUAUUGGUUCUCAGUGCUUUGUUCUGACACAAAGAUAACACACUUUAGUUUUUCAGGAUCAAGGUUAUAUGCAUCAGUCUAUGGAUUGGUAUAUGGAAACAUGAUUCCUGCAAAAUGUGUUAUGUGAGAUGAGAAUUUCAACUUAAGCAAGCACUGCACAUCAAUAUCACUGAAAAAAGUAUGCUAGCAGGUAAUGCCAGGAGGUACUCUAACCAAGAAAGCCUGGUGAAGUUAUCUCCUCAGAAGAUAAACUGGAUAAUCAGCACCAGCUGGGGCAGAAAAGAAGGGAAGCCGGUGAAAUGAACAUGUCCACUCUGUGUCACAGCAAUGACAGAACUUCAGCUGAUUGUUGUCUGUGAUAAAGGAGACAAAGUAUGGCCAGCUUGGGUUUUGCAGAAGUCACUGGAAAGCCACAGCUUUCUAUGAAACUUCCCGAUUCUUAAAAGUCUCCAAAACAAGUUGUUCCACAACUGUUUCCUUGGCAUACUCUGGGCCAGGGAGUGCUAGAGGUAAAGUGAAGAACAAAGGAGACAAAAACAAAAGCUUGUGCCCUGGCUCAUGCUUACCCUCGUGGAGCUUAGAUUCCACUGAAAGAUACAGACAAUAUAACAAAUAAGUGAAUGAUAUUUUGGAAAGUGGUAAGUACUAUGAAGAGAAAUCCAGCAGAGGUGAGUGAGAACAUGUGCUGGGAUUAGGGAACAUACUCCCCAGUACUCCCAGGCUGCACGAUCUAGUGGGGGCUGCCUCCUAGUUAUUUGACAAGUCCAAGGGUAUAAGUUAAAUUUCCAUAAAUCUAUCCCAUUAUUCAUUCUUUCUAGAAUUUGAAAGCCAAUAUCAAUUUUUCUCA